CCACUUCAGAACCCAUAUAAUCACAGUGACUGAAAAGCUAAGGACUUAAAAACUCCUAAACAUUUAGUGAAAUUUUGUGUGCAGAAAUCAGCAUUAAAUUAAAUUUACUAUGUUUUAUUCCUAGAAUGCCCUUUACACCAUAUUGGAUGCUCCCUAUGACUUUACCAUUAUGGACAUGCCACUUUUGUGGCAGUGGUGGUGUAUCGUCCUGAUGGAAAACUUUGACCUUGGAAGCCAUGAAAAGCUGUUCGCUCACUGGACAGAUACAUCAAAAGCCCUCCUGCGAGGUGAGGUGUCACCAGUGUUUAGGCUGAAGAAAAGAAGGGUGGAUGACAUUACUACGGAAGAAAAGCAGCAAGCUGAGGUUUCAGUCAGACCUGCUGAUGUGAGCACACCAGUGGAAGGGGACUCGGUUGAAGUGCGUAUUCUGCAUGAUUGCAGACAUGCAGCAGAGUGGGUUGAGGCCAAUAAGACACUCUUCUCUGCCAGAGUGGACCUGCCUGAAGUUCUAUACAUGGGGGAGGAGGAACAGGCUGAGGCUGCUCUGCAGUAUAAAAGACUGUGGCAAGAAGACAUGGAUGAGCAGGAAAGGGAAGAAAUCCUGGAGGUCUUCAAAUUCACAUUCUACAACAUUGAGGACGUGGAAAUUUUGUGACAUAGUAGUGGACGAAAACAAUUAUUUGGCAUAUUGUGAAUGUCACAAAGAUGAAUAAUUGAAGGAUAACAGAACAUUUGAUCAUGUUGUGACUUUGUGUGUUCAUGUUUUGUUUUCUCAUUGAGCACUUAAUAAUUCACUUGAACUACACUGUAGAUCUCAAGAGUUUGGGUAGUAGUUGGUGGUAUUUAGGUGCUCCAGCAGCACAAGAACAUAAUUAGCAUAGACAUAAGUUCCUCGGCUUUAUAGGCUACAAAUAGACACUUGAGCCCCAAGUCACCCACGUUUAUGUUUUCCGUAAUGACCUAAGCUGUAAUAUUACACAAAACGGUGUAUAUUGCUCUAUGUACAUGGCAAUCAUUAAUGAGAAGUGUUUUGAAAACGUCAAAUGCUACUGCUUCACUUGUCCAAAUAAAAAGAACCAGAAAAGCACUCA